rnacentral:rRNA from 1 species
CCUACGGGAGGCAGCAGUGGGGAAUUUUGGACAAUGGGCGAAAGCCUGAUCCAGCAAUGCCGCGUGUGGGAAGAAGGCCUUCGGGUUGUAAACCACUUUUGUACGGAACGAAACGGCUCGCUUUAAUACAGCGGGCUAAUGACGGUACCGUAAGAAUAAGCACCGGCUAACUACGUGCCAGCAGCCGCGGUAAUACGUAGGGUGCGAGCGUUAAUCGGAAUUACUGGGCGUAAAGCGUGCGCAGGCGGUUACAUAAGACAGUUGUGAAAUCCCCGGGCUCAACCUGGGAAUUGCAUCUGUGACUGUAUAGCUAGAGUACGGUAGAGGGGGAUGGAAUUCCGCGUGUAGCAGUGAAAUGCGUAGAUAUGCGGAGGAACACCGAUGGCGAAGGCAAUCCCCUGGACCUGUACUGACGCUCAUGCACGAAAGCGUGGGGAGCAAACAGGAUUAGAUACCCUGGUAGUCCACGCCCUAAACCGAUGUCAACUGGUUGUUGGGUUGCAUUAGUACUCAGUAACGAAGCUAACGCGUGAAGUUGACCGCCUGGGGAGUACGGCCGCAAGGUUGAAACUCGAAAGGAAUUGACGG